GCCUUCGUGGUGCAACGGAUAGCACACUCGGCUCGUGUUCGAGAGGUCCAGGUUCGAGUGCCGGCGAGGACA
rnacentral:tRNA from 1 species